UAACCCUAACUCAAAACGACACCUUGCCAGUUUCAUGUUAGAACUUCUUAAGACUAUUUCUUUCUAACAAGAAACUUUACGUAAGUGAAAGAGCAUAACAUGUGGUCUCAUAAUAUACACAUUCUCUUCGAUCAAUAGUAGCCAUUAGGUAGAAUUAUCUUUAAAUUGACUUAUAUUAUGUGCAAAAUCACUGAUUUUAAUAUAUCAAUUGAUUAUUAAAUUUGCCCCACGAAGGACCAAGGCUUUGGGACUUUUGCUCAGCUGCCCAAACUAAGCCGUGAAAGCUGCAAAAUCACAAAGGAGAUUCCAACAACACUUUACGACCACCUUGAAAACUCGACUGCUGAUGAAAGAAUUCCAAGUUAACCGGUGGAACCCCGUCUAGCCUAACCAAAAACCUUUCCUUCAGUCCUAGUUGUCGACCUCUCUACUUGUGGACACAUGCUAUUCACUGGCGUUCGAGGGCAAGGAGCUUUUCUGAAUGGAAACUCUAUAUAGGUUUCUUCAAACGAUGAACUUGUCAACUGCCUCCUUGCUACAAAGCAUGGAGAGAAUAUCAUGAAGAGAAGAGGGAAAAGGAGAAGCAAGGAGUUGAACAAGGACAAAAAGGAAGGUAGUGCAGGAGAAAAUAAUUUGAGGUGUUCACCUGAUUCCAUGACAACCACUUCAAAAGCUAAGGUAAAUUUGACAAGGGGCUAUGUCUAGCUUGUUAUAUCUCCUGAUGUAAAUGAUCAGAGUCCAUGCACAAGUCAGCAGGUUAUGGAUGAUGGUUAUGCAUGAUUUGUAAAAAUCAUAGAUUCUAUAAUGGAAAAUGAACAUGCCUCUGUGUUUUGUGUUUGCAUUGGCUGGAUAGCCAGACAUUAAUUAUUUUUGAAGGCCU